rnacentral:lncRNA from 10 species
GACUCAUCAACUAUACCAGUCCUCUGUUCCUGGUCUCUGGAGCUUCAAUUUGGGAAAGUGACCCAUUAGCUUCUGAGGACCAGGGUGAGAGAGGGCAAACUUGAAUGCCCUUCACAAUGGAGAGAUGUGUGCAGACCGGACAGACAUCAGUUCCUUUAUCAGUGCACAGGUAGCUGCAAUAUGCUUCCUGGAAUCCUCUCUCAAAUAAACUGCUUGCCUCCAAAUCCUUGUCUCAGGCCUGCAUGUGGAGAGAUAAAACCCAGACAAAGAGGCAGACAUGAGCAGAUGAGCUCCCCCGAACAGGAGACAAGUGGGCUGAGAGGUGAAGGAAGAGGAUGAGGAUACCUCUGCCUCCGAGAAAAUGAGACUGGGUUGUCCUGCUGAAGGAAAAGAGUCACAUGACUAUUGCUCAGAUAACAUCAAGCUAACCACCAGGCAUGUGAGUGAGACUGUCUAAGAUAACCCAGUUUCAGCUGAGCUGAUCCAGAGCAGAAAAGCUGUCCAGGAACCAAGGAACCUGACAGAUAAGUAAUUUUUCUUACUUUAAAUCUUUAUAUUUGAAUUGGUCUCUUAUCCAGCAAAAACUGCCUGAUAUGACACCUUCACAACUCCUUUAUAUAUUCCAACUUAAUUGUAGCCUCCUUGAGCACAGAACCACUUUGACUGACAUCUUCUGAAGCUCCUUCAGGACUCAGAUUCUGCCUCACUCAUUUAAGGAGCAGAGGACAUGUUUGUUGAUUGACAAUCUUGUCCAAAGUUUCUGCUAUGCUUCAAGGAUCAGUUAGUAAUUUAAUUCCUUUAGAGGCUGGUUUAGGUCCCCAAGCACCAGCUAAAAACAAACCUGCAACAUCGAAUCUUGAAAAAAAGCCAACAGAUCAUAAGCUUUGAAAUCAACUGUAGGAUCUAUGGAGGAACAUUUUGCUAGGGCUUCAAAGACCAUAGGCAUUAAUAUAAACUCACUCUCAGACUCAGAUCCUCUCUCUGAUUUCUCCUUCAGUUCCUGCAGAGAAUUUGAGUCAAAGGGAAUGGAAGAGUCAGCUAGUUCAAAUGAAUUGAGGUGGGGAUGAUUAGAAAUUGAAACUCAGCUGACAAAAUUGGGAAGUAAAGUUUCUCUGAAAGUAUUAUUUUCAUAAUUAUAAGGAAUUUGCAUAUAUAUAUAAAUUACUUUCUGUCAUUUAAAAAUGCUUCCACAAAAAUAUACAUAAGAGUUUCACCUCAAGGUUGAAAAUGAGAAAGUUGGAGUAUAUGAUGAGUAAGAGCUUAUAAAUAUAUAAUCCUGUAUAGAGUUCUGACAUCCUAGAUGCUGUCCACCUGUCCCUAACAAAAGCCAUGGAUUUCUACAGGGUCAUGUAAAGUAAAAGGUUAUUUUGAACAUUC